rnacentral:ncRNA from 2 species
AUAAAAAUGGAAACUAUGAAAAAUUCUCUUUAUUUGGGUACCUUGAGGAUUUGGAGUAAGUGGUGCAACCGACCAGUAAUUAG